rnacentral:rRNA from 1 species
UGCCCUAGUAACGGCGAGUGAAGCGGCAACAGCUCAAAUUUGAAAUCUGGCUCUCGGGCCCGAGUUGUAAUUUGUAGAGGAUACUUUUGAUGCGGUGCCUUCCGAGUUCCCUGGAACGGGACGCCAUAGAGGGUGAGAGCCCCGUCUGGUUGGAUGCCAAAUCUCUGUAAAGUUCCUUCGACGAGUCGAGUAGUUUGGGAAUGCUGCUCUAAAUGGGAGGUAUAUGUCUUCUAAAGCUAAAUACCGGCCAGAGACCGAUAGCGCACAAGUAGAGUGAUCGAAAGAUGAAAAGCACUUUGAAAAGAGAGUUAAAAAGUACGUGAAAUUGUUGAAAGGGAAGCGUUUAUGACCAGACUUGGGCUUGGUUAAUCAUCUGGGGUUCUCCCCAGUGCACUUUUCCAGUCCAGGCCAGCAUCAGUUUUCCCCGGGGGAUAAAGACUUCGGGAAUGUGGCUCUCUUCGGGGAGUGUUAUAGCCCGUUGUGUAAUACCCUGGGGGGGACUGAGGUUCGCGCAUCUGCAAGGAUGCUGGCGUAAUGGUCAUCAACGACCCGUCUUGAAACACGGACCAAGGAGUCGUCUUCGUAUGCGAGUGUUCGGGUGUCAAACCCCUACGCGUAAUGAAAGUGAACGCAGGUGAGAGCUUCGGCGCAUCAUCGACCGAUCCUGAUGUUCUCGGAUGGAUUUGAGUAAGAGCAUACGGGGCCGGACCCGAAAGAAAGUGAACUAUGCCUGUAUAGGGUGAAGCCAGAGGAAACUCUGGUGGAGCUCGCAGCGGUUCUGACGUGCAAAUCGAUCGUCAAAUAUGGGCAUGGGGGCGAAAGAC